rnacentral:rRNA from 1 species
UGGGUAACCCGCCUCAAAGAGGGGAAUAGCCUCCCGAAUGGGGAGAUUAAUACCGCAUAAUAUGUUUAAGUCGCAUGACUUUAACAUCAAAGGAUUUUCUUUUAGAAAUUCCACUUUGAGAUGGACCCGCGGCGCAUUAGCUAGUUGGUGAGGUAAUGGCUCACCAAGGCGACGACGGGUAGCCGGCUGAGAGGGCGAUCGGCCACACUGGGACUGAGACACGGCCCAGACCUCCGUACGGGAGCA